rnacentral:tRNA from 1 species
GGGGUCGUGGUUGAAUGGUACAACGGUGCGUUCGCAAUGCACUAGUGGGGGUUCGAUUCCCCCCGACUCCACCA